rnacentral:lncRNA from 1 species
CGGCCCGUUUCCUCGGGUCGUAUUAUUCUGUGCUAAUGAAUAAAGGAGAGGGAUGCGCCGCCCGGACAGCAGUGCUGAAGAGCGGCCGAGGAGGACCAGCAGGCCCAGUCCAAGAAAGCGCUGAAGAAACAGCAGAAGGAAGCAGAGAAAGCGGCGAAGAAGGCCGAGAAACAGGCCAAGCUGGCGGCUGAGCAGCAGACAUCUGAUGAGGAUGACUUUGCGAAGGACCGGUACGGAGUGUCUGCGAUGGUGCAGUCUCAGGAGAAACUGGGUGAGUAUCUUCACCUUGCUGUCAGUUUACCACACACUUACCUCACCUCUUCAGCAGCUCAGUGUGUGAA